rnacentral:misc_RNA from 1 species
UCCAUGCCACUGUUUGGCUCUUGAUUCUCGAGUGGCUGUGUAGGAGGGAACAUAUGGGUGGCUUGGAGCAGCCCCAGCAACCCCAGGGAAAUCAACAACCACCGCAAGAUCUCCUCUUGAACUUUCGUUCGGGCCUUAAAGUCAUAACCGAAGGAUUGGACUCGCGCGAGCGAUCAGUUGCUCCCUCCCACUUUCCUUCUACAUCAAAUGUUACGGCUGAAAAUCAAGUGUUUUCACCUUCUAUGGUGGAUAAGAGCUUCAUGGGGAAUUAUUCUACAUCCUUCGUAUCUCCUUCGACGUCUGGGACAAACUACUUCUCUGCUACUUCAAGCGGAAUACAGCAUUACGUGGGUGGGAAUCAGAAUUUUCGGACUUCUGAGUUUGAGCUGACUGACUUAAUCUCUGCUACCACUACUUCAACUACAGACUCUACCACUGUUGGUUUGGAUUUCCCAUUUGGCAAUGUAGAAUUUGAUCCAAACUUCACAUUUGACAACUCAGGAUUCCUUCCCUAGUUGCAUGCACAGCUUCAGAAUCAAAUAAAGUGAAGAAAGCAGAAGCAUCACUUUGUCCUUACUAAAGAUAUAGAUAAGUUAAAUUUUUAGGCCAAGAAAAUUUUGCUUGGUCUUUUAAAUCUUUCCAUGUUAACCCCUUAAAGAAAUUAAUCGUCAAUGGGUGCCAGUUAUAGUACUUGUAUUUGUUUUCGUCCCUUAUGUACGUGAAUGGUGAAGGUCCUAUACAAAGAGUGUCAUUUGUAAUUCCUUAAUUGUCAAUUUUCUGUUGCACUGUAAUCUAUUUCUAAA